GACCAGCCAGGGAGCUGCGGGGAAGUGAAAGCGGUUCAGCAGAGGCUGGAGAGGAAGGAGAAGGCCACAUCCCUGCAGAGGACUCCUCCUCCAGGCCUGACCCCUCUCUGAACUCCAGGCCUACGCUUCCCUUUCCAGCGGCGCCCCCUGGAGCUGAGCCCUGCCUGCCGGGGUGUCCGGCACCCGGCCUCCAUCUAGGCAUGAAGCCCGUCCACGCCCAGGACCCCCUCAGCUCUCACCUGGACCACUUCACAGCCUCUGAACCCCUCUCCCUGUGUCCACUCUGCCCUCCAUCCACCCGACAGACUCAACUCCCGCUCACAGCUCCAAUGCUGUCGCACCACCGCUCAACAGCUUCACUGGCUCCAACUGCCCGCAGACUUUUUUUGUAACUUCCAACAAAAACGUACCCAGUCCUCCCAUCGCAGAAGCCCCCGGGGACGGGGACACUAGGAUUAAAAGAUGUGGUGGUCGCCCACGAGGGCGGACAAAGACCCCAA